UCAGAGGGUGGGGCGAUCGCUCGUCGACCAGCGUGUCGAUCGGGAGGAAAGUCCGGGCUCCACAGGACAGGAUGGUCGAUAACGUCGACCGGCCGCGAGGCUAGGGAAAGUGCAACAGAGAGUAGACCGCCGAACGGUCUGUCGGGGAUCGUCCCGGACCGAUGCGUGGCAAGGCUGAAACGGUGCGGUAAGAGCGCACCAGCGGCCGAGGUGACUCGGUCGGCUUGGUAAACCCCAUCCGGAGCUAGACCAAACAGGGUGCAGAAGCGGUCCGCUUCAUUACGACACUCGGGUAGGUCGCGAUAGAGGCGACGAGCAAUCGUCGUGCACAGAUAAAUGAUCGCCGUCAUCGAUGGCCUUUGUCGGAGCCCGCUCCGGCAAAGACCACGGUCGUCACAGAACCCGGCUUACAAGCCCUCUGGUCGU
rnacentral:RNase_P_RNA from 1 species